AGGGAAUUUUCCGCAAUGGGCGAAAGCCUGACGGAGCAACGCCGCGUGAGUGAGGACGGCCUUCGGGUUGUAAAACUCUGUUCUUGAGGAAGAAUUCCUUCCAGGCGAACAGCCUGGAAGGUUGACGGUACUCAAGGAGAAAGCCCCGGCUAACUACGUGCCAGCAGCCGCGGUAAUACGUAGGGGGCGAGCGCUAUCCGGAAUUAUUGGGCGUAAAGCGCGCGCAGGCGGCUGAUUAAGUCAGGUGUGAAAGGCUGCGGCUCAACCGCAGAGCGGCACCUGAAACUGGUCAGCUUGAGUGCAGGAGAGGGGAGCGGAAUGCCCGGUGUAGCGGUGGAAUGCGUAGAGAUCGGGAGGAACACCAGUGGCGAAGGCGGCUCUCUGGCCUGUAACUGACGCUGAGGCGCGAAAGCAUGGGGAGCAAAC
rnacentral:rRNA from 1 species